CGAUGACUGGGUCAUUGCGCUGUGUAUCCGGCUGGUAAAAAAAUACCGUCCUGCUCAGUGAUAAUGUCCUGUAAGCCUUGCGCGCGCUCAUUUUAUGCUGCGAGAUCAGAUAAUGGGAGAGUUCACGCUUUAUCACUGGUUUU
rnacentral:sRNA from 1 species